rnacentral:rRNA from 1 species
UCGAGGAUCAUUCGCAAUGGGCGAAAGCCUGACGAUGCGACGCUGUGUGAACGAUGAAGGCCUUCGGGUUGUAAAGUUCUUUCGCUUGGGAACAAGAGAGAUCGGUGAACAACCGGUCGAUUUGAGGGUACUAGGUAAAGAAGCACCGGCCAACUCCGUGCCAGCAGCUGCGGUAAUACGGAGGGUGCAAGCAUUAAUCGGAAUUAUUGGGCGUAAAGGGCGCGUAGGCGGAAAGAUAAGUCAGAUGUGAAAUUCCAAGGCUCAACUUUGGAGCUGCAUCUGAAACUAUAUUUCUAGAGGGUUGGCGGAGAAAAUGGAAUUCCACGUGUAGCGGUGAAAUGCGUAGAUAUGUGGAGGAACACCUGUGGCGAAAGCGGUUUUCUAGCUAGUACCUGACGCUGAGGCGCGAGAGCAAGGGGAGCAAACA